rnacentral:rRNA from 1 species
AGAGUUUGAUCCUGGCUCAGGAUGAACGCUGGCGGCGUGCUUAACACAUGCAAGUCGAACGGGAAACCUUUUAUUGAAGCUUCGGCAGAUUUAGAUUGUUUCUAGUGGCGGACGGGUGAGUAACGCGUGGGUAACCUGCCUUAUACAGGGGGAUAACAGUCAGAAAUGACUGCUAAUACCGCAUAAGCGCACAGAGCUGCAUGGCUCGGUGUGAAAAACUCCGGUGGUAUAAGAUGGACCCGCGUUGGAUUAGCUAGUUGGUGAGGUAACGGCCCACCAAGGCGACGAUCGGUAGCCGGACUGAGAGGUUGAACGGCCACAUUGGGACUGAGACACGGCCCAGACUCCUACGGGAGGCAGCAGUGGGGAAUAUUGCACAAUGGGGGAAACCCUGAUGCAGCGACGCCGCGUGGAGGAAGAAGGUCUUCGGAUUGUAAACUCCUGUUGUUGAGGAAGAUAAUGACGGUACUCAACAAGGAAGUGACGGCUAACUACGUGCCAGCAGCCGCGGUAAAACGUAGGUCACAAGCGUUGUCCGGAAUUACUGGGUGUAAAGGGAGCGCAGGCGGGAAGACAAGUUGGAAGUGAAAUCUAUGGGCUCAACCCAUAAACUGCUUUCAAAACUGUUUUUCUUGAGUAGUGCAGAGGUAGGCGGAAUUCCCGGUGUAGCGGUGGAAUGCGUAGAUAUCGGGAGGAACACCAGUGGCGAAGGCGGCCUACUGGGCACCAACUGACGCUGAGGCUCGAAAGUGUGGGUAGCAAACAGGAUUAGAUACCCUGGUAGUCCACGCCGUAAACGAUG